rnacentral:rRNA from 1 species
GACCAACGCUGGCGGUAUGCCUAACACAUGCCAGUCGAACGGACAGAACAGGGAAGCUUUUCGGAGUGGAACUGGAAAGUUAGUGGCGGAUGGGUGAGUAACGCGUGGACAACCUACCUUGUAAAGGGGAAUAACCUCGAGAAAUCGAAGCUAAUACCCCAUAAUAACCUUGCUUCGCAUGAAGUAAGGAGGAAAGGCGGCCUUAGCGCUGUCGAUACAAGAUGGGUCCGCGUCUGAUUAGCUAGUUGGUGAGGUAAAGGCUCACCAAGGCGACGAUCAGUAGCCGGCCUGAGAGGGUGAACGGCCACAUUGGGACUGAGACACGGCCCAAACUCCUACGGGAGGCAGCAGUGGGGAAUCUUCCGCAAUGGGCGAAAGCCUGACGGAGCAAUGCCGCGUGAGUGAAGAAGGCCUUCGGGUUGUAAAACUCUGUCCUUAUCGAAGAGAGAGUGUUGUAGUAACUGACAAUACUAGGACGGUAGAUGAGGAGGAAGCCCCGGCUAACUAUGUG